GACGAACGCCGCGGGCGUGCCUAAUCCAUGCAAGUAGAACGCUGAGGGAGGAGCCGGCUCUCUGGAUGAGUUGCGAACGGGUGAGUAACGCGUAGGUAACCUCCCUGGUAGCGGGGGAUAACUAUUGGAAACGAUAGCUAAUACCGCAUAAGAGUAGAUGUUGCAUGACAUUUGCUUAAAAGGUGCAAUUGCAUCACUACCAGAUGGACCUGCGUUGUAUUAGCUAGUUGGUGGGGUAACGGCUCACCAAGGCGACGAUACAUAGCCGACCUGAGAGGGUGAUCGGCCACACUGGGACUGAGACACGGCCCAGACUCCUACGGGAGGCAGCAGUAGGGAAUCUUCGGCAAUGGACGGAAGUCUGACCGAGCAACGCCGCGUGAGUGAAGGAGGUUUUCGGAUCGUAAAGCUCUGUUGUAAGAGAAGAACGAGUGUGAGAGUGGAAAGUUCACACUGUGACGGUAUCUUACCAGAAAGGGACGGCUAACUACGUGCCAGCAGCCGCGGUAAUACGUAGGUGGCAAGCGUUAUCCGGAUUUAUUGGGCGUAAAGAGAGUGCAGGCGGUUUUCUAAGUCUGAUGUGAAAGCCUUCGGCUUAACCGGAGAAGUGCAUCGGAAACUGGAUAACUUGAGUGCAGAAGAGGGUAGUGGAACUCCAUGUGUAGCGGUGGAAUGCGUAGAUAUAUGGAAGAACACCAGUGGCGAAGGCGGCUACCUGGUCUGCAACUGACGCUGAGACUCGAAAGCAUGGGUAGCGAACAGG
rnacentral:rRNA from 1 species